rnacentral:misc_RNA from 1 species
GAUGAAGAACGCAGCGAAAUGCGAUAAGUAAUGUGAAUUGCAGAAUUCCGUGAAUCAUCGAGUCUUUGAACGCACAUUGCGCCCUCUGGUAUUCCGGAGGGCAUGCCUGUCCGAGCGUCAUUGCUGCCCUCAAGCACGGCUUGUGUGUUGGGCCCCGCCCCCCGAUCCCGGGGGGCGGGCCCGAAAGGCAGCGGCGGCACCGCGUCCGGUCCUCGAGCGUAUGGGGCUUUGUCACCCGCUCUGUAGGCCCGGCCGGCGCCUGCCGAUCAACCAAACUUUUUUCCAGGUUGACCUCGGAUCAGGUAGGGAUACCCGCUGAACUUAAGCAUAUCAAUAAGCGGAGGA